rnacentral:sRNA from 1 species
UCAUGCUCUGAGACUUGGCCUCGCCGA